AACGCGAAGAACCUUACCUACCUUUGAAUCCACGGAAUCUUGCAGAGAUGUGAGAGUGCCUUCGGGAACCGUGAGACAGGUGCUGCAUGGCUGUCGUCAGCUCGUGUCGUGAGAUGUUGGGUUAAGUCCCGUAACGAGCGCAACCCCUGUCCUUAGUUACCAUCAGGUUAAGCUGGGUACUUUAAGGAGACUGCUGGUGAUAAACCGGAGGAAGGUGGGGAUGACGUCAAGUCCUCAUGGCCCUUACAGGUAGGGCUACACACGUGCUACAAUGGCCGGUACAAAGGGUUGCCAAACCGCGAGGUGGAGCUAAUCCCAAAAAGCCGGUCGUAGUCCGGAUUGGAGUCUGCAACUCGACUCCAUGAAGUUGGAAUCGCUAGUAAUCGCGGAUCAGAACGCCGCGGUGAAUACGUUCCCGGGCCUUGUACACACCGCACUACUA
rnacentral:rRNA from 1 species